rnacentral:rRNA from 1 species
UACGUAGGGUCCAAGCGUUAUCCGGAAUCACUGGGCGUAAAGCGUUCGUAGGCGGAGAUUUAAGUGAGAUGUGAAAGCGUGUGGCUCAACCAUAUCGUUGUGUCUCAUACUGGAUUUCUGGAGGAAGGCAGAGGCAAGUGGAAUUGGCAGUGUAGCAGUGAAAUGCGUAGAGAUUGCCAGGAACACCAAUGGCGAAGGCAGCUUGCUGGGCCUUUUCUGACGCUGAGGAACGAAAGCGUGGGGAGCGAACAGG